rnacentral:rRNA from 1 species
GGCUCAGAUUGAACGCUAGCGGGAUGCCUUACACAUGCAAGUCGAACGGCAGCAACAGGGAGCUUGCUCUCUGGUUGGCGAGUGGCGAACGGGUGAGUAAUGUAUCGGAACGUGCCCAGUAGCGGGGGAUAACUACGCGAAAGCGUAGCUAAUACCGCAUACGCCCUACGGGGGAAAGGGGGGGAUCGCAAGACCUCUCACUAUUGGAGCGGCCGAUAUCGGAUUAGCUAGUUGGUGAGGUAACGGCUCACCAAGGCGACGAUCCGUAGCUGGUUUGAGAGGACGACCAGCCACACUGGGACUGAGACACGGCCCAGACUCCUACGGGAGGCAGCAGUGGGGAAUUUUGGACAAUGGGGGAAACCCUGAUCCAGCCAUCCCGCGUGUGCGAUGAAGGCCUUCGGGUUGUAAA